rnacentral:tRNA from 1 species
GUCACUUUGCCGGAGUGGUUAACGGGAUCGCCUGCUAAGCGGUUGUGCUUUGCACGCGAGUGUUCGAAUCGCUCAGGUGNGUCACU